rnacentral:rRNA from 1 species
AUGGACUGUGCGGCGGCGGCGGCGGCGAUCUACCGGCUGCCGGAGGAGUGCGUGGCGCACGCGAUCGCGAUGACUACGCCGGGGGACGCGCUCAGCUCCUCCGCCGUGUCCCCGGCGUUCCGGGCCGCGGCCGACUCCGACGCCGUCUGGGACCGCUUCCUGCCGCGCGACCACGCCGACGUGCUCGCCCGCGCCGACGACGCCGGUGACCACCGCGAGUGCUCCAUGUCCAACAAGGAGCUCUUCACGCGGCUCUGCAGCCGCCCGGUCCUCGACGGCGCCACCAUGAGCUUCGGGCUGGACAGGCGGAGCGGCGCCAAAUGCUGGAUGCUGUCGGCCAGGGCACUGAGCAUCGUGUGGGGCGACGACCCCUCCUGCUGGACAUGGACUGCCGACCUCCCCGGAUCACGGUUUCCUGAGGUGGCCGAGCUUGUGGACGUGUGCUGGCUAGAGAUCACCGGGAAGCUGCAGCUCUCCCUGCUCACCCCACGGACCACCUACGCCGCCUACCUCGUCUACGCCAUCGCCGACGACUCCUACGGCCUCGAGUGUAACAUCGGCAUCCUGCCGCCCAAGGCCACGGUCACCGUCGUCGUCUCCGGGAACAGUACCAAGCCGACGUCAACCGCGACGUCCACGUCGACGGAGAACACUAUCUGCCUGCAGCACAUGCAGGGGGAGGAGGAGACGACGAUGCACCGGCGGAGGCAGGAGUACGUGCGGCCACGGAACAACUACGGGUGGAAGCUGGUCAGGGAGGCCGACAUGGACAUCAGGUGCCCGCGACGAAGAGGGGACGACGGGUGGACGGAGGUCGAGCUGGGCGAGUUCGCCGUGGCCGGCGAGGAGGACGGGGUGGUCGAGGUGAGCCUCAAGGAGGUGGAGUGCCGGCGGUGGAAGAGAGGGCUCAUCGUGCAGGGCAUCGAGAUAAGGCCCAAGCACACGAACUAA